rnacentral:rRNA from 1 species
AUGACGAUAGCUCGCAAUGCCCGAGCAGAUGGUUCAGCUGUAGUAGAGAAGAUUCUUGAAAGCGAGUGGCGAGUUGGGUACAAUGCAAUGACCAAGAAGUUCGAAGACCUUGUUGAUGCUGGCGUGGUCGAUCCGUCCCGGGUUUCUAGAUGCGUGCUCCAGAACUCUGCUUCUAUCGCAAGGCUAAUUCUAAUGACCCAAGAAAUGAUGUUUGAUAAUAUAAAGAAGAAAAACUCGCCCAUUCCUGAAAUUCCAGGCCUCCCACCGUUGCAGAUAAAUCAAAAUGCUUAG